UCUCGCGACGUCCACGUGGGCACAAGGGACUGGGCUGAUUUUCUCCCUGCUCGUUUUGUCGUCGCAAGAAAAACCCUAGCCCGUCCCCGUCCGCAUCCCUGCCGCCGCCGCCGCCCUCCCAAUUCCCUCUGCUCCUGCUGCUUCCCUCCACCUCUCCCUCCUCCAUGCCGUCAGGGGCGCCCCUCAAGCCCCACCUCAUCGGUUCCUCACCCCGGGCUCCUUCUCCCCCGCCCAUGCUGCUCUCUGUGCGCGGCAACCGGAUAGAGGAGGAAGAUCAGGAGGGCCGCAGGGAUGAAGGAGGAGGUAGAGCCGUUCACGUCGCCGCCGCCGUCUUCCUCGCCCUCAGCGUGCGGGCCGCAGCGCUCCACCUCCUUGGCAUCUCCGUCUGGUCUGCAGAUGUUGAGAAAUAAGGGACGGAAGCAAGAUGUGAGGAUGUGGAGACGCUAUGUUGCCUCCAUCCCUGGCCUUCUUCUUGGCGUGUACUCGUUGGUCAUGCUCCGCUUCCUCCACUCCCACCUCUCGGCCUCGACACCUCUGCGUAUUUCUCCAUCACUCUCUUGCAGUGUUGUUAUCUUUUCAGGUAUGUGCUGAGAAUCCUAGGUGCGGCGACCUCAACAAUGUCCCAUCGUUGCCGGCGGUCGGCUAUAUGCUCCUGCGGAAUAAGUUCUUCCUGACCACCUCGACACUCACCGCCGCCGAGGAAUCCAGGGACAAGACUACCACCAAGUUGCUCAUCCGCCUUCAGGUGCAGACGGUGGGCUUUGCGUGGUCGAACCUAAGGUAGUUCCUUUCAAGGGCUAAUACCAAUGAGGUGUACCAGGUGCGCUGGCUUAUGCCAUCGCAUCCACCGACAGCAAGGUGGAGAAGGAGGCGCUCAAGGAGAGGGAGGCCAGGAUGGUGCUUGUGUCUAUACGGUGACAGCGUGGACCUCUUCUUCGCAGAGAGGACGAAGUUGCAUGUCCCAAAUCGUUAGGGGCUAGGUUGUUUCCGCGUCGAGGAGUUCAUUUUGGCAGACGGAACUUUUGAAAGCUAGAAUAUUUUGGUGAAAUGUGAAGGGCUGCUUCAGUUUACCCAUAGUGUUAUUUCUAGAUGAACAAGGAGUGGUGACAUUGUGAGAUGGUGAAGCCAGAGCAUUGUCGAUGAAACUAGCCGAGGAGGAAUUGUGAGUUCACCUCCCUCUCCUUUGCAUCGGUUGUAUUUUCUCUCCUCUUUGUGCCCAUAUAUGUUAUGUUUCCCCGGGUCGGUGUGAAGUGAGCACGCAGUUUGUCAUCGUUCGUCAAUCGUCUGUCCUGUUCGUCUUCACUUCGUUCGAUGUGCCUUUCCGUUGCGGAGGUGUGUUUUGUUGUUUUAUCUUGUUGCACUUGUUAAUAUGAAAUCACGUCUUAAAGGAUUCAGAAGGUUAUACUUCAGUUUAGUUAUUGUGUUCUUAAGAUUUCUAUACGAACUUUACUCCUUUCUACAAGACUAGCCAUCAAAUCAUGAUAACUGAACCAUUGAAAAACUAUAGAAGGAUUAGUGGCAAUAAAACCUUAGGUUAGUUCUACCCUUUAUUUUGUUAUAAUUCCUCUGUUCUGGUAAUGAAAAAGAUGACCACACAGAUUAAAGGUUUAGAAACUAUAAAAGGAUCUGAACAUGAAGCUUAAUCUGCUGAAUUUUCACUUCAGUAGUCCCUCGGCUUCGAGAGUAUACGCAAUAUUUGAUUGUUGCUUCUCAAUGAUGCUACCAAAAAUUGGACACCCUGGCGUCGGAGAGACGGACCAGGAGGCCGAGCAGUCCGUGGUGUCGCCGCCGUCGUCCUCAUCCCUCGUGCGUGGUGACGGAGAGAGGCGAUCCGUCUGGAGCUCGAGUAUAGUUGACCGCGUCUCUUUUCUUUCUCUUCUUUCGCACGUCUCUUUUUCUGUAGCUGUUUGAAGGCUUAUGAUGCAUGGUCACUGACUGUAUUGGAGAUGUAACAUAGUUUGUUAGGUUCAGCCAUUGUGCAAUCUGCACUAACAGGCAUGUGCCCAGCUAAGAGCAAUCUGUAGGAUAUAAUCUAGGAUUUGCUGCAAUUAUCUGCUUCAAUUUAUAGGUAUAAGUACUUCAAAUUCCUUCAAUGGUUGGGAGACAUAUGAAUUUGAUUACACUACUAUUUCAAUUACUGGAUGGUUAUUUUCAGUGUUAUUUAUGACCAUUUCUGUACUUGACAUGGUAUCAAGGUUACAGCCGAAUGUAUCUUGUACCAUACCACCCAUGGAUCUAAGUACAAAUUAUAAUGAGCAAUGAUUUCUCAGGCUAAAAAAUUUCUGCUAUCUCACUCAAGAGCAAUAAUAUACCCACUGAAGACUGACAGAAAACUGUAACCUUACUUUGAGUAGUGCAUCUCACAAUAACAGUUGUCCUCUCUUUUUACAUGUUUUAAAAAUCUGCAUAUUUUCUUGUAAUGAUUUCGGUAACAAAAUUGAAUGGCGCGGUGUAUGCUCACAUAUCCCCGCUCUUACAAGCUACCAUAAGGCAUGUUUCAGACUGUUAGUGUAUACUAUAUUGCUUACUCUGACAUUGGAUUUUGUGUUAACUGCUAUAUUAUAUAUUUUUGUUUCUUCUCAGGAGCCGCCUCCUCUUUUACUGAUAAAAACUGGUCGGAGGGGAUCUGCUUUUUCCCCUGAUCUUCUACGCGAUUGGGAGCCUGAGCCAUGGCUGACCCAUUCACUGCUGGUCAGGAAAAUCUGUCCGCCUCUUCUUAUUUUUCCUCUGUUGUUCUUCUGUUGGACGAAGGGGUUACUAACGUAAUCAGGUUGGUUUCUUAGUGCCUACCUCCUUGCCAGAUUUGGUGAUGAUGCCAAAGGAAACAAUGGGUUGUUGGGAUACCCGGAAUUAUCUUCUAUCAGCACUUGCAUUCAAAACCCAAACUGACCUUUAGUUUAAUGGAACGUACGUACAUUCACUGAUUUGUAUACUUAUUAGUUUGCCCAGAAGAACAUAGAUGUUGGUUUCAUAAUAUGUAUUUAUGGAUUGUAACCUACGUUUAUCAAUACGUCCAUUAUAUGCAUACGGCAAUUUUUAUUAAGGUGAUCUGGUGCUCUUCUUUUUCUUUCGACUUAUGCGUGGUGGUUAUAAGCCAAGGAAUAGUGGAAGUGCAUCACAAUUCUCUCUUGUAUGAUCAACCAUGUACAUUACCUGAUAUCAUCUAAUGCACGUGACUCAUUAUCGUGCAAAUGGCUCCAGCAAAACCUAAUAAAAAUGCUAAUCAGGCUCAAGGUGCAUGUUUUCCAACAAGUAGACUAAACAUGUUGGCAAGUAGAUACGCUAAAAAAAACAUGUCGGCAAGUAGAGAAAAAAGGACUGGGAGGGACGAUUAAGUUCAACAAUAGUUGACAUAUGCUCAUUUGUUUUGCUAAUAUGGUGCUACGGUGGCGUUCAUUUGUCUGUUGUACCAUUUGGUCGUGUCGCUGUAUGAUGGCGUUCCAUUGUCUGAAUUUGGAUCGCGGUGCAGGUCUCGGCAGCACCCAAAUAUUCACACAUAUUGGUGAUAGUCUGAUAGGCCUUUUGGGAUUUGCAGUGUAUGUGGAUCUUGGCAGAGCAGAGUCACUUAACCCCGUUAGAGAGUACCAGGGAUAUAACAUCAUUUUGAAAAUCCGAAUUUGGCUAAUCCAUGUGUACUGGACCUGUUUUUGAAGUUGUUCUGUCUCAUUUUUGUGAAGUGAACAUGCUUUUGCUAGCUGAACUUUACAAAGAGCUUAGCCUCUUCAUCCAUCGUGCACUGGUCUCUCUCUCCACCUCAUCCUUUUCUUUGGUCUCUAGGUGGGGCUGUGCAUUUGCUUGGAUUUUGUGGUGGCCUGGUUGGGAAAAGGAAGGUGCAUCUACUUUUGUUUGCUUCAGUUCUCCCUUUUGGAUUGAGUUGUUGCUAGUUUGCCAUGAAGUUCCUUUACUUGAUAAGAAAUUUUAGUUUGAAAUAUGUGGUCAUUGGGAGUUCAGAAAAGGUGGCAAGCAGGGAAGUCACUACUUUGUACUUGUAUUGCUUCCUUUUACUCAAGUACCUUCAUACAAGAUACUAAGUAUUUUUCAGUUUUUCCUCA